CCCUUAGAUGUUCUGGGCCGCACGCGCGCUACACUGAUGCCUUCAACGAGUCUAAAACCUGCUCUGAUAGGGGUGGGUAAUCUUUUGAAUGUGCAUCGUGAUUGGGAUAGAUGAUUGCAAUUUUUCAUCUUCAACGAGGAAUGCCUAGUAAACGCAAGUCAUCAGCUUGCAUUGAUUACGUCCCUGCCCUUUGUACACACCGCCCGUCGCUCCUACCGAUUGAAUGAUCCGAUGAAUAUCAUGGAUUGAGGAUGCAAGUAGGUUAGCCUAUCUUCAUCUUCGAGAAGUGAAGUAAAUCUUAUCAUUUAGAGGAAGGAGAAGUCGUAACA
rnacentral:rRNA from 1 species